rnacentral:lncRNA from 1 species
UUAACAGAAAUUUAAUCUACUCUAUGUGUAUCUAUAUUUAAUGAACAAUUUUGCUUAUAAGCACUCAUUUUAGUCGCCAGGGAGCCUAGAGAACAUAGUAUUCCAUGUUGUGAGGACACCUGAAGACUGUCACUACCCUGCCCUGGGGAGCUUGCAGGGAGCUCAGGGAUUGAGAGGAACACCAGGGCCUAGCUCAGUGGGGAUGGAGCUCAAUGGCAGGACACAGGCCUACCACACUCGAGGUCCUUCACUCCAUCCAGAACCAAAACCCAAAAAACAACUCCAGGGCCCAAGUCCUACGUGAGGGAGUGCUCAGUGACAUGAAUGGAGAAUAGCGUUUCAAGGAGGUGACAGGCGGGGCUGUGUACAGGCUGAACUGACAACUGUGACCGUGCAGAAGGGUGUCUUCACCUCAUGCUCUUCCUCGAUUGCCCGUCUCUCUAAAGCCACCUCUCCCUUCUUGCUUUGAACACAGGGUCACCCUGGACAGUCAUUACGAAGCCUGCUGUCACUAUGGGGUAGCCCAAGGACACAUCUUCCAGGAACACCAUCCUUCGGCAUUUACCUAUGCAAAUGUUACAUUGAGCAAAGUGGCACAGUCCGCAUGUAGAUUGGGGUGUGGGGCUUUUGCCUCUGGAGUUCCCCCGGUUUGAGUGAUGGCAGCAGAAGGAUCCAGUGAGCAGGUGCCAGGAGCAGCUGACGGGGACCAGAGGAGCUCUGCCUCAGCAGCGAGGCUCUCCUGGUCGCAUGCAGAAGCAGCACAAUACUAAAGGAGCUGACAAGGCAUAUUUAAGACCAUGCAAGAAAAGCAGGAAACAGGAAAAGAACUCACUGGAACUGUCUAACAGCAGCCUUGGCAGGGCUGUGGGUGAGUUCAUAUAACUGGACAGCAUGGUUUCUGCUAUUUCGUAUUUUGCUACAAUUUGAUUUGCUUCCAUUUGGAUUCUUCCUCCCUUGGCACUUUUCUGUGCCCUGUGCUUGGUAAUUAGCAAGCAUCACUUGCAUGAUUGCCUUUUACACCCACAC